rnacentral:rRNA from 1 species
CGGCAGCCCCGGCUUCUGCCUGGCGGCGAGUGGCGAACGGGUGAGUAAUACAUCGGAACGUGCCCCAGUAGUGGGGGAUAGCUCCGCGAAAGCCGGAUUAAUACCGCAUACGACCUGAGGGUGAAAGCGGGGGAUCUUCGGACCUCGCGCUAUUGGAGCCGCCGAUGGCAGAUUAGCUAGUUGGUGGGGUAAAGGCCUACCAAGGCGACGAUCUGUAGCUGGUCUGAGAGGACGACCAGCCACACUGGGACUGAGACACGGCCCAGACUCCUACGGGAGGCAGCAGUGGGGAAUUUUGGACAAUGGGCGAAAGCCUGAUCCAGCAAUGCCGCGUGUGUGAUGAAAGGGCUUCGGGUUGUAAAGCACUUUUGGCGGGAACGAAAGGGACUGUGCCAAUACCACGGUUCGAUGAC